GUGCUCACUUCAGCAGCACCUAUACUAAAACUGGAACGAUACAGAGAAGCUUAGCAAGGCCCCAUGCAAGUUUUUAGUUAUACUGUGUAAAACUUAAUUCUU
ensembl:snRNA U6 U6 spliceosomal RNA